rnacentral:RNase_P_RNA from 1 species
CGAGCCGGCCGGGCGGCCGCGUCGGGGGGAGACCCCCGCCGAGGAAAGUCCGGACUCCGCAGGGCAGGGUGGUUGCUAACGGCAACCCGGGGUGACCCGCGGGACAGUGCCACAGAAAACAGACCGCCUGGUCGCGCUUUGUGUGGCCAGGUAAGGGUGAAACGGUGGUGUAAGAGACCACCAGCGCCCCGGGUGACCGGGGCGGCUCGGUAAACCCCACCCGGAGCAAGGCCAAGAGGACAUCGGAGACGGUGUCUGCGCGAGCGUUCGAGGGCUGCCCGCCCGAUGCUCGCGGGUAGGCUGCUGGAGCCCGUCGGCAACGGCGGGUCUAGAUGGAUGGUCGCCGGUCGAGCCCGCUGCAAGGCGGUACUCGACGACAGAAUCCGGCUUAGAGGCCGGCUCGUCCC